rnacentral:misc_RNA from 1 species
AUGGGUGCCCCGACGUUGCCCCCUGCCUGGCAGCCCUUUCUCAAGGACCACCGCAUCUCUACAUUCAAGAACUGGCCCUUCUUGGAGGGCUGCGCCUGCACCCCGGAGCGGAGAGGAACAUAAAAAGCAUUCGUCCGGUUGCGCUUUCCUUUCUGUCAAGAAGCAGUUUGAAGAAUUAACCCUUGGUGAAUUUUUGAAACUGGACAGAGAAAGAGCCAAGAACAAAAUUGGUCUUACUCUGUCACCCAGGCUGAGUGCAGUGGUGUGAUCUUGGCUCACCUCAGCCUCGACCCCCUGGGCUCAAAUGAUUCUCCCACCUCAGCUUCCCAAGUAGCUGGGACCACAGGCAAAGGAAACCAACAAUAAGAAGAAAGAAUUUGAGGAAACUGCGGAGAAAGUGCGCCGUGCCAUCGAGCAGCUGGCUGCCAUGGAUUGAGGCCUCUGGCCGGAGCUGCCUGGUCCCAGAGUGGCUGCACCACUUCCAGGGUUUAUUCCCUGGUGCCACCAGCCUUCCUGUGGGCCCCUUAGCAAUGUCUUAGGAAAGGAGAUCAACAUUUUCAAAUUAGAUGUUUCAACUGUGCUCUUGUUUUGUCUUGAAAGUGGCACCAGAGGUGCUUCUGCCUGUGCAGCGGGUGCUGCUGGUAACAGUGGC